rnacentral:rRNA from 1 species
UACAGAGGGGGCGAGCGUUGUUCGGAAUUACUGGGCGUAAAGGGCGCGUAGGCGGCCCGCUAAGUCAGACGUGAAAUCCCUCGGCUCAACCGGGGAACUGCGUCUGAUACUGGAUGGCUUGAAUUCGGGAGAGGGAUGCAGAAUUCCAGGUGUAGCGGUGAAAUGCGUAGAUAUCUGGAGGAAUACCGGUGGCGAAGGCGGCAUCCUGGACCGACAUUGACGCUGAGGAGCGAAAGCUAGGGGAGCAAACGGG